rnacentral:lncRNA from 1 species
UCAACUACUCGGACAUUAAUGUCUGGAUACAAAUUGGGUAGAUCUUGUAUGCCAUGCCCAACAUCAGAAUAGCUGGAAUGUACAGACUAAAAAAGCUCGGAAGCGCUUGCACUCUUUGGAGAAUUUUGUAUGAGCAUUUUCAGGCUGUUCUGGUGACACUAAAAAAUACUGGCUCUCCUGUAA